UGGGGAAUAUUGCACAAUGGGGGAAACCCUGAUGCAGCGACGCCGCGUGAACGAAGAAGGUAUUCGUAUAGUAAAGUUCGGUCCUAUGGGAAGAUAAUGACAGUACCAUAGAAGAAAGCUCCGGCUAAAUACGUGCCAGCAGCCGCGGUAAUACGUAUGGAGCGAGCGUUGUCCGGAAUUAUUGGGCGUAAAGGGUACGCAGGCGGUUGAAUAAGUCGAAUGUUAAAGAUCGGGGCUCAACCCCGUAAAGCAUUGGAAACUGAUAAACUUGAGUAGUGGAGAGGAAAGUGGAAUUCCUAGUGUAGUGGUGAAAUACGUAGAUAUUAGGAGGAAUACCAGUAGCGAAGGCGACUUUCUGGACACAAACUGACGCUGAGGUACGAAAGCGUGGGGAGCAAACAGG
rnacentral:rRNA from 1 species